GACGAACGCUGGCGGCGUGCUUAACACAUGCAAGUCGAAGAUAGUGGCGAACGGGGUAGUAUUACGUAGGUAACCUGCCCUCCUUUUUGGGAUAAGCCUUGGAAACGGGGUCUAAUACCGACUAAAGGGGGAUGGGCUAGGGGCGUAUCUGCUUGUUGGUGGGGUGAUGGCCUACCAAGGCGGUGACGGGUAGCCGGGCUGAGAGGGUGAACGGCCACAUGGGGACGGAGCAACGGCCCAGAGUCGUACGGGGUGGAGCAGUGGGGGAUAUGGGAGAAGGGGCGAAAGCCUGAUGCAGCGAGGCCGAGUGGGGGAUGAAGGCUUUCGGGUUGUAAAACGCUUUCGCGAUCGAACGGGUAGGUGGAGAAGAAGCGCCGGCUAACUACGUGCCAGCAGCCGCGGUAAUAC
rnacentral:rRNA from 1 species